rnacentral:rRNA from 1 species
UACGGGGGGGGGCAAGCGUUGUUCGGAAUUACUGGGCGUAAAGGGCUCGUAGGCGGCCAACUAAGUCAGACGUGAAAUCCCUCGGCUUAACCGGGGAACUGCGUCUGAUACUGGAUGGCUUGAGUGUGGGAGAGGGAUGCGGAAUUCCAGGUGUAGCGGUGAAAUGCGUAGAUAUCUGGAGGAAUACCGGUGACGAAGGCGGCAUCCUGGACCGGCAUUGACGCUGAGGAGCGAAAGCCAGGGGAUCAAACAGG